CAGCUAACUUGAGAAAAUGUGCGUUUGCCAAGACAGAGACUCAAUAUUUGGGAUUUGUAAUGGGAAAUGGAAGGGUGAAACCUGUGGUCACCAAAAUCCAGGCUUUGGUUGAUGCAGCGAUCCCCAAAACCAAGACUCAGACAGCUAAAGCACAUCCGGAGCUGUCGCCGUGGGCCAGCACAAACCGGAUCACCACCUCACAACUGUCACCGAAUAAAAAGUGUAUUCAUUCACCACCAGCACGACUGCACGCACCCGGGACGGGUGAACGUGUUUUUGUUUUGUUAUUCAGGACUGUAACCUGUCGUUUCAUCCCCGCGCUCUACACAUCGUUGUGUAUUGCCGGGGCUUAUUAUUUACGGUCGCUAGACCAGGAUUUAAAAUAAAUAAAAACAUUUGUCACUGGA